GGACAAGGGGAGGGGGAGACACUAUGGGACAAGGGGAGGGGAGGAGACACUAUGGGACAAGGGGAGGGGGACACUAUGGGAGAAAGGGAGGGGAGACACUAUGGGAGAAGGGGAGGGGAGGAGACACUAUGGGACAAGGGGAGGGGAGGAGACACUAUGGGACAAGGGGAGGGGGACACUAUGGGAGAAAGGGAGGGGAGACACUAUGGGACAAGGGGAGGGGGGGACAC
rnacentral:lncRNA from 1 species